rnacentral:rRNA from 1 species
CCUACGGGUGGCAGCAGUCGAGAAUCUUUGACAAUGGGCGCAACCCUGAUCCUGCGACGCCGCGUGGGGAAAUGAAGUUCUUCGGAUUGUAAACCCCUGUCAUGUGGGAGCAAAUUAAAAAGCUAGUACCCCAAGAGGAAGAGACGGCUAACACUGUGCCAGCAGCAGCGGUCAUACAGAGGCCUCAAUCGUUGUUCGGAAUCACUGGGCGUAAAGGGUUCGUGGGGUGUGUUGUAAGUCGUGUGGGAAAGGUGCGGGCUCAACCCGCGGACAGUACAUGAUACUGUGGGGCUAGAGUAAGGGAGGGGGAACCGGAAUUCUCGGUGUAGCGGUGAAAUGCGUAGAUAUCGCGAAGAACACUCGUGGCGAAGGCGGGUUCCUGGACAUUAACUGACGCUGAGGCACGAAGGCCAGGGGAGCGAAAGGGAUUAGAUACCCCUGUAGUC